GCUCAACCGAGGAAGUGCUUCGAAAACUGGUAAACUUGAGUGCAGAAGAGGAAAGUGGAACUCCAUGUGUAGCGGUGGAAUGCGUAGAUAUAUGGAAGAACACCAGUGGCGAAGGCGGCUUUCUGGUCUGUAACUGACGCUGAGAUUCGAAAGCAUGGGUAGCAAACAGGAUUAGAUACCCUGGUAGUCCAUGCCGUAAACGAUGAGUGCUAAGUGUUGGAGGGUUUCCGCCCUUCAGUGCUGCAGCUAACGCAUUAAGCACUCCGCCUGGGGAGUACGACCGCAAGGUUGAAACUCAAAGGAAUUGACGGGGGCCCGCACAAGCGGUGGAGCAUGUGGUUUAAUUCGAAGCAACGCGAAGAACCUUACCAGGCCUUGACAUACCAUGAAAAGCUUAGAGAUAAGUCUUUCCCUUCGGGGACAUGGAUACAGGUGGUGCAUGGUUGUCGUCAGCUCGUGUCGUGAGAUGUUGGGUUAAGUCCCGCAACGAGCGCAACCCUUAUUAUCAGUUGCCAGCAUUCAGUUGGGCACUCUGGUGAGACUGCCGGUGACAAACCGGAGGAAGGUGGGGACGACGUCAAAUCAUCAUGCCCCUUAUGACCUGGGCUACACACGUGCUACAAUGGUCGGUACAACG
rnacentral:rRNA from 1 species